UACGUAGGGUGCAAGCGUUAAUCGGAAUUACUGGGCGUAAAGGGCGCGUAGGCGGUACUUCAAGUCAGGCGUGAAAGCCCCGGGCUCAACCUGGGAACCGCGCUUGAGACUGGAGAACUAGAGUUCGGGAGAGGAUGGUGGAAUUCCCAGUGUAGAGGUGAAAUUCGUAGAUAUUGGGAAGAACACCGAUGGCGAAGGCAGCCAUCUGGACCGACACUGACGCUGAGGCGCGAAAGCGUGGGAGCAAACAGG
rnacentral:rRNA from 1 species